GCCUUCUUAGCACAGUAGGCAGCGCGUCAGUCUCAUAAUCUUGAAGGUCCUGAGUUCAAUCCUCAGCGAAGGCA